rnacentral:rRNA from 1 species
UACGUAGGGGGCAAGCGUUGUCCGGAAUCAUUGGGCGUAAAGAGCGUGUAGGCGGCCCGGUAAGUCCGCUGUGAAAGUCCAGGGCUCAACCCUGGGAUGCCGGUGGAUACUGUCGGGCUCGAGUCCGGAAGAGGAGUGUGGAAUUCCGUGGUGUGAGCGGUGAAAUGCGCAGAUAUCGAGAGGAACACCGGUGGCGAAGGCAGGGUCUCCUGGGC